UAGGGAAUCUUCCACAAUGGACGCAAGUCUGAUGGAGCAACGCCGCGUGAGUGAAGAAGGUUUUCGGACCGUAAAGCUCUGUUGUUGGUGAAGAAGGAUAGAGGUAGUAACUGGCCUUUAUUUGACGGUAAUCAACCAGAAAGUCACGGCUAACUACGUGCCAGCAGCCGCGGUAAUCGUAGGUGGCAAGCGUUGUCCGGAUUUAUUGGGCGUAAAGCGAGCGCAGGCGGAAGAAUAAGUCUGAUGUGAAAGCCCUCGGCUUAACCGAGGAAUUGCAUCGGAAACUGUUUUCUUGAGUGCAGAAGAGGAGAGUAGAACUCCAUGUGUAGCGGUGGAAUGCGUAGAUAUAUGGAAGAAUACCAGUGGCGAAGGCGGCUCUCUGGUCUGCAACUGACGCUGAGGCUCGAAAGCAUGGGUAGCGAACAGGAUUAGAUACCCUGGUA
rnacentral:rRNA from 1 species